CCUACGGGAGGCAGCAGUGGGGAAUAUUGGACAAUGGGCGAAAGCCUGAUCCAGCCAUGCCGCGUGUGUGAAGAAGGCCUUCGGGUUGUAAAGCACUUUCAGUGGGGAAGAAAGCCUUGGGGCUAAUACCCUCGAGGAAGGACAUCACCCACAGAAGAAGCACCGGCUAACUCCGUGCCAGCAGCCGCGGUAAUACGGAGGGUGCGAGCGUUAAUCGGAAUUACUGGGCGUAAAGCGCGCGUAGGCGGUCUGAUAAGCCGGUUGUGAAAGCCCCGGGCUCAAACUGGGAACGGCAUCCGGAACUGUCAGGCUAGAGUGCAGGAGAGGAAGGUAGAAUUCCCGGUGUAGCGGUGAAAUGCGUAGAGAUCGGGAGGAAUACCAGUGGCGAAGGCGGCCUUCUGGACUGACACUGACGCUGAGGUGCGAAAGCGUGGGUAGCAAACAGGAUUAGAUACCCUAGUAGUC
rnacentral:rRNA from 1 species